rnacentral:sRNA from 1 species
UUCUAGGUCCAAUGCGCCAGUGAGCUCUA